rnacentral:rRNA from 1 species
UGAGGAAUUUUCCGCAAUGGGCGAAAGCCUGACGGAGCGACGCCGUGUGUGUGAUGAAGGCUUUCGGGUCUUAAAGCACUGUCGGCAGGAACGAUAAUGACGGUACCUGCAGAGGAAGCCCCGGCUAACUACGUGCCAGCAGCCGCGGUAAUACGUAGGGGGCGAACGUUGUCCGGAAUCAUUGGGCGUAAAGCGCAUGUAGGCGGAUCCGUAAGUCAGGUGUCAAAUCCCCUCGCUCAACGAGGGUCCGCACUUGAUACUGCGAGUCUAGAGAAAUAUAGAGGAAAGCGGAAUUACCGGUGUAGCGGUGAAAUGCGUAGAUAUCGGUAAGAACACCAGUGGCGAAGGCGGCUUUCUGGAUAUUUUCUGACGCUGAGAUGCGAAAGCAAGGGGAGCAAACGGG